UAUCUCUGUAGAGUCUGCAUAUCAAUAAGCGGAGGAAAAGAAACUAACUAGGAUUCCCUCAGUAACGGCGAGUGAAGCGGGAAGAGCUCAAAUUUGAAAUCUUCAAGGUUCUACCUUGACGAAUUGUAGUUUAAAGAAGUGUUUUCUGUUGGAGUUUUGGUAAAAGUUCUUUGGAAUAGGACAUCAUAGAGGGUGAGAAUCCCGUAUUUGACCAUUAUUUCCAGCUUUGUGAUACACUUUCAAAGAGUCGGAUUGUUUGGGAAUGCAGUCCAAAAUGGGUGGUAAAUUUCAUCUAAAGCUAAAUACUAGGCGAGAGACCGAUAGCGAACAAGUACCGUGAGGGAAAGAUGAAAAGAACUUUGAAAAGAGAGUUAAACAGUACGUGAAAUUGUCAAAAGGGAAGCGUUUGACACCAGUGUUGUUUUCUCGAAAAUCAAUUAAAAAAGGCAGGAUUUUGUGUUGUAUUGACUUUAUCAGCUUUCUGCAGUCUUUUCUUGUCUUUUUUAAUGCACUUUUCGUUUAACAAGUCAACAUCAAUUUCUUUUGUUGUAAAAGGGUCAUUGGAAGGUGGCUUUCUUUUCGGAGAAAGUGUUUAUAGCCUUUGGCCUCUGCAAUCGGAGAGAUUGAGGUCUGCAGCGUAGAUCCUUCGGGGUUAGAUACAUUUGUGCUAAGUUAUAGCCUUCCAUAGACAACUUGUUGACUAUGAUCAGUCAUGUAGCUUACUCGCUUAUGCUAUUUUACCUACGCUUAGGAUGUUGACGAUCAGCUGAGCGCG
rnacentral:rRNA from 1 species